rnacentral:rRNA from 1 species
UACGGAGGGUGCAAGCGUUAUCCGGAUUCACUGGGUUUAAAGGGUGCGUAGGCGGGCAGGUAAGUCAGUGGUGAAAUCUCCGGGCUUAACCCCGGAACUGCCGUUGAUACUAUCUGUCUUGAAUAUCGUGGAGGUAAGCGGAAUAUGUCAUGUAGCGGUGAAAUGCUUAGAUAUGACAUAGAACACCCAUUGCGAAGGCAGCUUACUACACGAUCAUUGACGCUGAGGCACGAAAGCGUGGGGAGCAAACAGG